AGCGAACGCUGGCGGCAGGCCUAACACAUGCAAGUCGAACGAACUCUUCGGAGUUAGUGGCGGACGGGUGAGUAACACGUGGGAACGUGCCUUUAGGUUCGGAAUAACUCAGGGAAACUUGUGCUAAUACCGAAUGUGCCCUUCGGGGGAAAGAUUUAUCGCCUUUAGAGCGGCCCGCGUCUGAUUAGCUAGUUGGUGAGGUAACGGCUCACCAAGGCGACGAUCAGUAGCUGGUCUGAGAGGAUGGCCAGCCACACUGGAACUGAGACACGGCCCAGACUCCUACGGGAGGCAGCAGUGGGGAAUCUUGCGCAAUGGGCGAAAGCCUGACGCAGCCAUGCCGCGUGAAUGAUGAAGGUCUUAGGAUUGUAAAAUUCUUUCACCGGGGGCGAUAAUGACGGUACCCGGAGAAGAAGCCCCGGCUAACUACGUGCCAGCCGCCGCUGUAA
rnacentral:rRNA from 1 species